rnacentral:rRNA from 1 species
GGGGGAUAUUGCACAAUGGAGGAAACUCUGAUGCAGCAACGCCGCGUGAGGGAAGACGGUUUUCGGAUUGUAAACCUCUGUCCUUGGUGACGAAAAAAAUGACGGUAGCCAAGGAGGAAGCUCCGGCUAACUACGUGCCAGCAGCCGCGGUAAUACGUAGGGAGCAAGCGUUGUCCGGAUUUACUGGGUGUAAAGGGUGCGUAGGCGGCACUGCAAGUCAGGCGUGAAAUAUAUGGGCUUAACCCAUAGACUGCGUUUGAAACUGUGGUGCUUGAGUGAAGUAGAGGUAGGCGGAAUUCCCGGUGUAGCGGUGAAAUGCGUAGAGAUCGGGAGGAAUACUCAUUGCGAAGGCGACCUGCUGGAACAUUACUGACGCUGAGGUGCGAAAGCGUGGGGAGCAAACA